ensembl:lncRNA
ACACUAGUUAUCUAUUUUAUUUGUCCAUUUGCAAUAUUGAUAAUUUUAGGAACAUUUGUGUUGGAUAAAAAGCGAGUUACAUCAGUUACUAACUCAACAUGCAGAUGCAGUAUAUCACAGAUAAAUCACAGAGGUUACUUGACUCUUGUCUGGAUGUUACAGGAACAGAUUAUGUUUAUCUGCUGUAGAGUGACUGAUGAAGGAAUGCUGCCAUCAAAGGAUUUGUGUAGUGGUGCUCAUGGAGAGCAGCACACGAUUGUUUGGAGCAGACACAGCAGCAGUCAGAUUGUCCCGCAUGUGUUC